rnacentral:lncRNA from 1 species
ACGUCCUCCCCAUCGAAACAAGAUGGAGAGCCUCCGUUUGUGUCUAUACACCGAUGGUGAAACCUGCCCCAUCUCCUUCCUCACAGCUCAGUGACAAACGUGUUCAACAUUGGCAGGCAGCUCCUGCACAGCACUGUUGGGUGCUAAGCCCUGCACUUGCUGCUGUGGUUGGAAAGGACAGGCUACAUGAAGCACACCAGACACAAGAUCUUGGGUGAGACUGCAAACUGGUAAUCUCCACCUCCC